rnacentral:rRNA from 1 species
CGUAGGUGGCAAGCGUUGUCCGGAUUUAUUGGGUUUAAAGGGUGCGUAGGCGGCCCUGUAAGUCAGUGGUGAAAUACUCUAGCUUAACUAGAGGGGUGCCAUUGAUACUGCAGGGCUUGAGUACAGACGAGGUAGGCGGAAUUGACGGUGUAGCGGUGAAAUGCAUAGAUAUCGUCAAGAACUCCGAUAGUGAAGACAGCUUACUAGGCUGUAACUGACGCUGAGGCACGAAAGUGUGGGGAUCAAACAGGAUUAGAUACCCUGGUAGUCCACACUGUAAACGUUGAUGACUCGAUGUUGGCGAUACACAGCCAGCGUCCAAGAGCAAUCGUUAAGUCAUCCACCUGGGGAGUACGCCGGCAACGGUG